rnacentral:rRNA from 1 species
AAGCUCGUAGUUGAAUUUCGGGGUUAGUAGGUUGGUCAUGCCUCUGGUAUGUACUGGUCUCACUGAUUCCUCCUUCCUUAUGAACCGUAAUGCCAUUAAUUUGGUGUUGCGGGGAAUUUGGACUGUUACUUUGAAAAAAUUGAGUGUUUAAAGCAAGCUAACGCUUGAACACAUUAGCAUGGAAUAAUGAAAUAGGACGUUCGAUCUUAUUUGUUGGUUUCUAGGAUUGACGUAAUGAUUAAUAGGGAUAGUUGGG